UUACUUACCUGGACGGGGUCAAUGGGUAAUCAAGAAGGCCCAUGGCCUAGGUUGGUGGCCUCCAUUGCACUUAGGAGGGUUGUCUGCUUAAGGUCCGCCCAAGUGAUGGAACCUAUGUCAUAAUUUGUGAUAGUGGGGGCCUGCGUUCGCGCGGCCCCUG